rnacentral:tRNA from 8 species
GAAAAUAGCUCAGUUGGUAGAGCACAACCUUGCCAAGGUUGGGGUCGCGGGUUCGAGUCCCGUUUUUCG